UACGAGGGGUGCAAGCGUUAAUCGGAAUUACUGGGCGUAAAGCGCGCGUAGGCGGCUUGAUAAGUCGGAUGUGAAAGCCCUGGGCUCAACCUGGGAACUGCAUUCGAUACUGUCGAGCUAGAGUGUGGGAGAGGGUGGUGGAAUUCCCGGUGUAGCGGUGAAAUGCGUAGAUAUCGGCAGGAAGACCAAGGGGGAAGCCAGGGGGCUGGCCGCAGGCUGACGCUGAGGCGCGACAGCGUGGGGAGCAAACCGGAUUAGAAACCCUAGUAGU
rnacentral:rRNA from 1 species